rnacentral:misc_RNA from 1 species
UUUCCGUAGGUGAACCUGCGGAAGGAUCAUUAUUGUAUAACCGAGGUGCGAGGGCUGUCGCUGACCCGAAAGGUCGUGCACGCCCGAGUCCCCUCACGCACAUCCAUCUCACCCCCAUGUGCACCACCGCGCGGGUCCCCCUUUGGCUUGUUCGGAGGGGGGCUUACGUUUUCACACAAACUUUGUAUGCAGUGUAGAAUGUAUUUUUUGUUUUUGCGAUCACGCAAUCAAUACAACUUUCAACAACGGAUCUCUUGGCUCUU